rnacentral:rRNA from 1 species
CAGUAGCCGCGGUAAUGCGUAGGUGGCAAGCGUUGUCCGGAAUUAUUGGGCGUAAAGGGCUCGCAGGCGGUUUCUUAAGUCUGAUGUGAAAGCCCCCGGCUCAACCGGGGAGGGUCAUUGGAAACUGGGAAACUUGAGUGCAGAAGAGGAGAGUGGAAUUCCACGUGUAGCGGUGAAAUGCGUAGAGAUGUGGAGGAACACCAGUGGUGAAGGCGACUCUCUGGUCUGUAACUGACGCUGAGGAGCGAAAGCGUGGGGAGCGAACAGGAUUAGAUACCCCUGUAGUCCCUGUCUCUUAUAC